GCCCAGAUGGCGGAAUUGGUAGACGCGCAGGCUUCAGGUGCCUGUGUCCGCAAGGACGUGGAAGUUCGAGUCUUCUUCUGGGCACCA
rnacentral:tRNA from 16 species